UGGCCUUCUAGGCCAGCCUACCUGUUACACAUAUUCAAUUGUUUUAAGUAUUUAAGUCCAUCACCAUAUCAUACCUCAGUUAGUCAAGCUUUAAUAGACAAGCAAUCAACCUGGAGUGAAGUAAAGAGGAUUCCAAUUUCAAUUAGAUGACAAAAAUAACUAACAGAACCUAGAGAAAAAUAUUCAUCAGCAAAGAUGAAUCUAUUAAAAGAGUUUUUAAAAAAUUAG
rnacentral:misc_RNA from 1 species